AAAAUUGAACAAGAAAGAAAAAAAAUAAAAAUGAAAAAGGCGCUCUGUCUUGGAAGUUUCCUCAAUGCCGGCCACUCAUCUUCCACUCUUUCUUCAAAACUCAGAAUCCCAACUUCAUUCACUGCUUCCUUUUUAUUUAUUUAUUUAUUUUCCAUUUUCUUUUAUUUUUCCCAAAUAUUAUUAUUUUAUACUUCAAAUCUUCUGCUUCCUCUCUCUCUCAGUUUUGCUGGAUAAGUAUCUGUCUGUGGAUCAUAGACUUUGCAUCUCUGAUUGUAGCACAGUGUCAUCUGUUGAAAGAUAGAUCUUCUGCUAGAGUAUCCUUAAUAAUCUCUAAGGGCUGAGCCUUUUUCAUGAUAAAUAAACUCAAAUGGGGCCCAUAGAGGAGAAGGUAGACCUUGAAUCUGACGAAGAAAUUCCUUUUAGCUCAUCAUCAAUUCGGAGGAAAGUGCAUAUGUUUGGUUUUGAGACAGCCAGCAUGAGUGCUCAUGCAGAUGUGGUUAAUACAUGGGUUUUUAAGCGAAUACGAAUGAGCCCUCUCAGGAGUAUUUACAUUGUUUUAAUUAAAGCAAAGAUAAACGUUUUGUUACCUUUUGGUCCCUUGGCAAUUUUGCUUCACUAUGUUACUCAAAAGCAUGGAUGGGUUUUCUUCCUCAGUUUAUUGGGCAUCACACCUCUAGCAGAGCGUCUAGGUUAUGCAACUGAGCAGCUCGCCUUCUACACUGGACCAAUAGUUGGUGGUCUUCUAAAUGCGACAUUUGGAAAUGCAACAGAAAUGAUCAUAUCAAUUUAUGCAUUGAAGAGUGGAAUGAUAAGGGUUGUCCAACAGUCUUUAUUAGGUUCUAUCUUGUCAAAUAUGCUUUUGGUGCUUGGAUGUGCCUUCUUCACUGGUGGUAUUGUUCAUCACAGGAAGGUUCAGGUUUUUAAUAAGGCAAUUGCUCUUGUGAAUUCUGGAUUGCUGUUAAUGGCAGUGAUGGGGAUAAUGUUUCCUGCUGUUCUUCACUUCACACGCUCAGAGAUUCAUUUUGGCAAGUCAGAGUUGUCACUUUCAAGAUUUAGCAGUUGUAUAAUGCUAGUGGCAUAUGGGAGCUACCUGUUCUUUCAACUCAAAAGUCAACAUGAUCUCUACAACCCUGUUGAUGAGGGAAGGGAGGACGAGCAGCAGGAUCCUGAUGAAGAAGAGGUGCCAGAAAUAACUCAAUGGGAAGCAAUUGGAUGGCUUGCAAUUUUGACUUUAUGGAUUUCCAUACUGUCUGGCUACCUUGUUGAUGCUAUCCAGGGAGCAUCUGACUCAUUGAACAUGCCAGUGGCUUUUAUUAGUGUCAUCCUACUUCCGAUUGUAGGAAAUGCUGCUGAGCAUGCAAGUGCAAUCAUGUUCGCGAUGAAGGAUAAGCUCGAUAUUACACUUGGAGUUGCAAUUGGAUCGUGCACCCAGAUAUCAAUGUUUGUGAUCCCUUUUUGUGUGGUUGUUGGGUGGAUCAUGGGACAACCGAUGGACUUGAAUUUUCAACUCUUUGAGACGGCAACCCUUUUUAUCACCGUAUUAGUUGUGGCAUUUAUGUUGCAGGAAGGAACGUCAAACUAUUUCAAAGGCUUAAUGCUCAUUCUUUGCUAUCUUAUAGUAGCGGCAAGUUUCUUUGUACAUAUUGAUCCUUCGAAUGAUGAGAUGCAAUGACACUGAUAACUUUGGCUGAGGGAAAGCAUCUUUCAGCGAACAUCAUGCCGGAGGCAUUAUUUUAUAGAUUCUCUUCGCGAUCAUGGAGCAAUUCUCAAAUCUCAUUUUCAGUUUAUUUUAGUUUGGACGUGGAGGAGGUUUCAGCUGAGGCCUCUCUGUAUUUGUUUGGCUCACAAUAAAUACACAAAAUUGGGUGCUCAAGUGUUAUAGCAAUUUGCUUGCAAACAAACAGGGUGUUAAUUCAUAUUCUUGAGAAUGUUAAUCUGAAAGGCAUUGACAGCCUAAGCUAGUUCUCCUAUGAGAUUAAAUUGCAGCUCAGAUCAGAGACUUAUGAUCUGAAGUCCGACUCCUGUCGUCAACCUGGUAAAGCUGGAAGUGAAGGUUACAUAAGGGUUAGAGGUCGAACCGGAGAUCCGACUCUAGUUCUCAACCUGCUAAAGCUGGAUGUGAAGGUUACUUAAGGGUUAGAGGUUGAACAGGGGUUGAAUGCAAGUAUGUUAAAAGUUUGUUAAAUUUAAUGGAACUUAGUAUGUUAAAAGUUUGUUAAAUUUAAUGGAACUUAGUAUGACAUAUUUAAUCCAA